CAAACGAAGAUCGUUUAUACACAAAAUUGAAGCAACAAAUACAACGCCAUGCACCUACGCUUCUAUAGUAUUUUAUUAUUUUAAAAUAUGAACAUUUUUCUAAAGGAUUCAAAAGAAAGUGACGAUACUUUAUUGGACGAGGAUCUUGGAGAUGAUGAAUAUGAUCUAGGCAAUGAUGAAGAAGAAGCUCUUUUAGCAGAUGACUAUGAACCGGAGAGGCAGAAUAGCUAUAAGGGAGAAGAGGAGACAGAUGAUGUACUGGACUUAGGAGUUACCGACGGACUCGACGACUUAGAUGGCGAAGAUGAAAAUAUAGAAUUUAGUAGAAGCAAAACCGAUAGACGCGAUGAUAAUGAUUUUUACGAGGACGAAGAUCAGCUACAGGUUCAAUCAAAAUAUUAUGAGCAAGAUGAAAUUAACGAAUACAAAAGCGAACAAGCGCGUCAACACGAUGAACAUUCUACGGUGGAUAGCGUUAAUGUUUCAAGUAACAUUGGAAAGGGGGAUUUGCGAGAGAAGUUGCAAAAGAAUGCAAAAAUCUAUGCUGGAAAUGGACAAGGUUUGGAAGACGAUGAAUGCGAAGAAGCCAAGGAAAGACGGAAUAGAUUUCAAAAUGAAAGAACCAUAGUUUCUCCAAAAAUGAACAGUAACAUACCAGAAACUUUAGAAAACGUGGUAACAUCCGAACGUUCGUUCAGAGGCCGAGGAAGAGGUCGAAGCACAAGAGGAAGUCGGGGUGGAAGAUUUAACACACAGAAUUCCGGAAAUUUUAAUCUAAGGUUUAAUAAUGCACGUAGCACAAACUUUGAUGGUCAGCCAGCAGUAUGCAGACCUCCACUGUUUGAAACGAGACCGCCAUUUCUUCUUGGAGUAGCGAACAACAUGCAGAAUCAACAGAUUAUUUAUCAGCAACCAAAUUCUCAAGUACAAUCUUUCCAACACUAUUCUACGAAUGGUCCACUUCCUCCAGGUCCAGCACACUUUGUAGACAACAGACCACAAUUGAAUCCUAAUCAAUUUCAAGGUCAAGUAGGUCCUAGAGUAGUCGGGCCGAGGUUAGAUUAUGGACCUCGUGGUGGUUUGGCAGGAUCGCUGCAAGGGCCAGGACCAUCUUAUAAUCAUCCUUCUAAUCAACCACCAUACGUCCAAAUUCAACCAGGACCGUUUCAAAACUCGAGCGUGCUUAUACAAGAUAAUCAACCGCGACUGAUGCAAAAUAAUCAAGGUUCCUUGUUGCAAGGAAAUGCUGGAGGAUCGCUUCUUGGAAAUCUUAAUUCAGUGGUACCUGGUACAUCGGCACCAUUGUUACAAGGUGGAAAUCAGCCAUUACCGAUGCAAGGAUUCCCACGACAAACUUCUACCCAAGGACCACCACCACUUAUCAAUCAUCAAAACGUGCAAAUAUCAAAUCAAUCAUCGUUUGAAAAUAGAGCGCCAUUUCAAGAACCUACGUUUGAAAAUCGAUCCGUUUACGAUUCAAGACCCGGCUAUUCUGAUCAAGUACCUACUAGCCAAUUUAAUACUAAUACGUUACCUGUACCUCAACAGUCCGCUUCCAAUGUACCCAAUGUACCUUUACCUCCAGGGCACAAGAUUUUAAUCAAUCCUCAUUUUCGAGGAUCUGUUCAGUCAACAAACGAUGUGUGCAGCAAGACUCAUAUGGGAUUCCACCCAACAACAACAACAAUCGUCUUUGUCGUCUCAAAUUCCUGGUAGUCAAUUUCCGCAAUCCGUUAUCCCUUAUCAGAAUCAAAGUUCGUAUAAUCAGACUCAACAAGGAUCAUCGCAGUAUCAACAAAAUUAUCAACAAAAUAAGAACGAUGACCCAUAUGCGUACUUUUCGGAUGUGUGGCAAGAAAACAAAC
rnacentral:misc_RNA from 1 species